AAAAUAUCCUCUAUUUCUGAAUCAGCUUAUUCACUAUUUUUUAGAAGAUACAAGAAGCCAGGCCAGAAUCCAUUUAAGUGUUAUAUAUGCCCAUAAUAUUGCACCACUCAGGAACCAACUGUGGAGUGACCUUAGAUCAAUCUAUGUUCCCAGUCAAGAUGCUUGGCUGAUUAGUGGUGAUUUCAACUGUCUUAUGUUCUGAUGACAGAAUUGGCUCUCCAGUUACUGAUGCUGAAGUUAAAGAUUUCAAAGACACUGUUU
rnacentral:lncRNA from 1 species